AUUGAACGCUGGCGGCAGGCCUAACACAUGCAAGUCGAACGAGUGGCGGACGGGUGAGUAAUGUCUGGGACACUGCCCGAUGGAGGGGGAUAACUACUGGAAACGGUAGCUAAUACCGCAUACCAUCGGAUGUGCCCAGAUGGGAUUAGCUGGUAGGUGGUGUAAUGGCUCACCUAGGCGACGAUCCCUAGCUGGUCUGAGAGGAUGACCAGCCACACUGGAACUGAGACACGGUCCAGACGCCUACGGGAGGGAGCAGUGGGGAAUAUGGGACAAUGGGCGCAAGCCUGAUGCAGCCAUGGCGAGUGUAUGAAGAAGGCCUUCGGGUUGUAAAGGACUUUCAGCGGGGAGGCGUUACCCGCAGAAGAAGCACCGGCUAACUCCGUGCCAGCAGCCGCGGUAAUUC
rnacentral:rRNA from 1 species